rnacentral:tRNA from 1 species
GCCCGGGUGGCGGAAUUGGCAGACGCGCAAGCUUGAGGUGCUUGUGUCCGAUUAUGGACGUGCUGGUUCGAGUCCAGUCCCGGGCA